rnacentral:tRNA from 1 species
AGCUCCGCAGUAUCCGUUUACGUUGGAUUGCAAAUCCAAAGAAGGAGACUAACUCUCCCGGGGCU